GAGCAGUUCACUCCAGACAUCCCAAAAAUAUUGCUGAAAUGAAACAGUUUUGUAAAGAGGAAUGGUCCAAAAAAGACCUUAUUUGGUACUUUGAAUUAAAUCAGGUAUAACUUAGGGUAUGAAACAACAGUAAGUAACCUGCUGUGGUACGAAAACGUAAUCAGGGUUUGUACUUUUAAGCACCUUGAAAUUAAUUCCUAGAUUUUACUGAAUGUAUUCUUUAUUCUUUUUUUUCUUAUUAUUAUAGACUAUUUUGCAUAUCUUUCAACAUAUACGUAUUACCUCCAGAAUGUCUAUUUCUUCAUAAAAGUCAUUCUUGAGCUCUGUUCCAACACCCUUAGUGAACAAAUAGGCUGGAGAUACCUAAACUGUAUCCUCUACGUCAUGGGAAUCUCCAUGGUACUCCGAGCUGUAGAAUUCCAGCUGAAAGUCCAUAGGAUAUGCUUCCAUAAGACAUCAGGUUUGUUACAAUACUUUAUACACAAGACAUGAUUACAUAACAUCAAUAUUUGAUCUUUAACAUGGAGUCCCAUUGAGGGGUUAAGCUCUGUACUACAGUCAGGUUUUCACAUGUUGGUCAAACAUGCAUGCAUCUGAACAAUAGGUCAACAGUCCAUCACUAAUUCCAGAUAAAUAAGUAAAUCCAUUAUAUUUGUACUUUCUGGAAAUUGGUGUCUUCAGCUCUUAUCUUAACAGUGUAAAUACAACAACCCUAAAAAUUCAAGCUUGGGUGUGAUUCUGGACCUUUUUUGUUUGAUAAUUAUAACCCAUAGCCAUUUUAGACAGGAGCUUGGAGUUCCUAUGUUCCUGACACAUUAGUCCAGAUUUUCUUUUUCCAAAAAAGCAAAGAGAACCGCGUAUUAUUUGCAAGGUUUGACGCUUCAGUUAUUUGCCCUACAUAAAGUAUCCCUUCCCUCACCAACUCAGUGUUUUGCCUGUGUGUUCUGCUUUUGUUAUCAACCAUUUUACAUUGGAAAGUCAAUUAGUCCUGUUCUAACAGCUUCUAUAGUUUUGCCCUAGGCCUAGUCUUGCAUCUAAAAGUAUUUUCCAUAGUAGCUUAGGUUCAUUUUGGUUAAAUGACUGGUUCAAUUUAUUUUUGAAGGAUUGGCUGUACACAAUACAUCAACCACUUGACAGGUACUUGUCCUGCAUUCUACCCCCCUUCCAUGACGAGUUGUGAUUAGUAAUUAUAACCACAUGGUCCUUGUUCAAACAUGAGUCAUUGAAAUAUUCCUGGGCCUAUUUCACUUCACUGAGAAACACAUUUUUGCCUGUCUGGAUGACAAUUUCUAAGAUGUUAUUUUCUUCCACAGAAUGGAUAGAUGACACAUUCUUCCUCAUAAAUCCUGCUGGUUGAUAAGGAUCUCAAGGGAUUGAUUGGAUCAAGAUGAGGAAAGUUCCUAUAAGGAGGGAAAUCCUGUUUAUGCCACUGGAACGGCUAUGGUGUGACCCCGGACUGUGCUGAUCCAGCUCCAGUGGUCCUGUCAUUACAGGAUGAAGAAUGUCUGUGAAAAAUGUGCAUUUUGAAGGACCUCUGGCCUAAUAUCCACCUGUUAGGAAGGUUGAAACUUUCAAUGAAUCAUUAAGAUAUGUAUCCUUGUUUUGUAUUCCAGUUUGUGGAAUCACAUACUGCUUGUUCUGUACUGUUAUAUUUGUUUGUGGAUUCAGUAAAUAUAUUUUGUUUUAAACAUA